CCUACGGGGGAAAAAUUUAUUGCUAUUAGAUGAGCCUAUAUUAGAUUAGUUAGUUGGUGAGGUAAAGGCUUACCAAGACAAUGAUCUAUAGCUGAUCUGAGAGGAUGAUCAGCCACACUGGAACUGAGAUACGGUCCAGACUCCUACGGGAGGCAGCAGUGGGGAAUAUUGGACAAUGGGCGAAAGCCUGAUCCAGCCAUGCCGCAUGAGUGAAGAAGGCCUUCGGGUUGUAAAGCUCUUUUAGUGAGGAAGAUAAUGACGGUACUCACAGAAGAAGUCCUGGCUAACUCCGUGCCAGCAGCCGCGGUAAUACGGAGAGGGCUAGCGUUAUUCGGAAUCAUUGGGCGUAAAGGGCGCGUAGGCGGGUUAGUAAGUUAAAAGUGAAAUCCCAAGGCUCAACCUUGGAACUGCUUUUAAAACUGCUAGUCUAGAGAUUGAAAGAGGAUAGAGGAAUUCCUAGUGUAGAGAUGAAAUUCGUAAAUAUUAGGAGGAACACCAGUGGCGAAGGCGUCUAUCUGGUUCAAAUCUGACGCUGAGGCGCGAAGGCGUGGGGAGCAAACAGGAUUAGAUACNCUGGUAGUCCACGCUGUAAACGAUGAAUGUUAAAUAUGGGAAGUUUACUUUCUGUAUUAUAGCUAACGCGUUAAACAUUCCGCC
rnacentral:rRNA from 1 species